CCGCCCUCACCUCUUGCGAACCGACGCCCCGAAUUUCCCUCCCGUUCCCCGCCAGCCCGCAGGCUGUGACAACAGUGGAGGGGCGGUAAGUUCGCCAGCGCCUAGUGCGCGGCGAAGCCCCGGCUGGCCUGAGUUUCUGGAAACUACGUGCGGGUGAAGAUGGAAGAACGGGGAGAGGGAGACUCUCCGAAGGGCAGCCUCUUCUGGCGCGCCGGGAGCCGUGACGGGCUGGGGAGUGCACCGCGGGGUGCUCCCACCUGCGGGCGCCACCGCCUCCCGGCCCGUCUGCCCCCUAGGGGAGGCCACCGUGGGACGAGAACCGGGAGCCGCGUGUUGCCCUGUGAAGACCCGGGACGGUUGUGGUUUGCUUGUUUCAACUACCAGGAAGUCUUCCCGGCUCUCGGGCGCGCCCCCUGUGCGGCCCCCGGUUCACUCCGAAAGCAAAACUCCUCGCUGAAUUGAUGCCCAAUCAGAGCUGGCUUGGCCUUGACCCGCCCUUGGUUCCCUGGGUGACUCUGGGGGCCUCCGUUCACUUGAUCCUGUGACUGUCAGGUUUAUAAUUAAUCGAAGUCUUACAGACGAAUUUCUCAUCAGUUUCUGGCUCAGAAAGAGAUCAGCGGGAUGCAUUAUUACAUCGACGCCCUGAAAUGUUACUCAUUUGAUAAAGUGAUCAUUUAUUAAAUAUCCACCUUGAUAUGUCAAAGAGGGCCCCAGCAGGUUACCUGGGUUUUUGCCCAGCAGGCAAAAAAAGAAAAAGAAAAAAAGGCUUAGAAUAAAACACUGUACUGUGAA